rnacentral:rRNA from 1 species
CCCUUAGAUGUCCUGGGCCGCACGCGCGCUACACUGAUGCAUGCAACGAGUUUAUAACCUUGGCCUGAAGGGUCUGGGUAAUCUUUUGAACGUGCAUCGUGAUAGGGAUAGAUUAUUGCAAUUGUUAAUCUUGAGCGAGGAAUUCCUAGUAAACGCGAGUCAUCAGCUCGCAUUGAUUACGUCCCUGCCCUUUGUACACACCGCCCGUCGCACCUACCGAUUGAAUGGUUCGGUGAAGAUCUCGGACUUCGAUAUUUAUUCUUUAUUGAGUUUAUACUGUGGGAAGUUAUCUAAACCUCAUCAUUUAGAGGAAGGUGAAGUCGUAACA